GACAGAGGCCCCAAGCGUUAGGCGGAAUCACUGGGCUUAAAGCGUGUGUAGGCGGACGCCUAAGUGUCUUGUGAAAUCCCACGGCUCACCCGUGGAACUGCUGGGCAUACUGGGUGUCUUGGGCCAACUAGGGGCAGCCGGAACAAGCGGUGAAGCGGUGAAAUGCGUAGAUAUCGCUUGGAACGCCGAAGGUGAAAACAGGCUGCUGGGGUUGCGCCGACGCUGAGACACGAAAGCCAGGGGAGCAAACGGG
rnacentral:rRNA from 1 species